rnacentral:misc_RNA from 1 species
GAUGAAGAACGUAGCGAAAUGCGAUAAGUAAUGUGAAUUGCAGAAUUCAGUGAAUCAUCGAAUCUUUGAACGCACAUUGCGCCCGCCAGUAUUCUGGCGGGCAUGCCUGUCCGAGCGUCAUUUCAACCCUCGAACCCCUCCGGGGGGUCGGCGUUGGGGAUCGGCCCUUUACGGGGCCGGCCCCGAAAUACAGUGGCGGACCCGUCGUGGCCUCCUCUGCGAAGUAGUGAUAUUCCGCAUCGGAGAGCGAUGAGCCCCUGCCGUUAAACCCCCAACUUUCCAAGGUUGACCUCAGAUCAGGUAGGAAUACCCGCUGAACUUAAGCAUAUCAAUAAGCGGAGGA